rnacentral:misc_RNA from 1 species
AAAGUCGUAACAAGGUUUCCGUAGGUGAACCUGCGGAAGGAUCAUUACUGAAGUGGGCGGGCAACCGCUCCGCUUGAGAUAGAACCCUUGCAUUUUGAGUACCAUUCGUUUCCUCGGCAGGCUCGCCUGCCAGUGGGACACUUCUAAACCUUUUGUGUAUGCAGUAAACGUCUAAAACAAACAAAAAUCAAAACUUUCAACAACGGAUCUCUUGGUUCUG